UAGGGAAUCUUCGGCAAUGGACGAAAGUCUGACCGAGCAACGCCGCGUGAGUGAAGAAGGUUUUCGGAUCGUAAAACUCUGUUGGUAGAGAAGAACGUUGGUGAGAGUGGAAAGCUCAUCAAGUGACGGUAACUACCCAGAAAGGGACGGCUAACUACGUGCCAGCAGCCGCGGUAAUACGUAGGUCCCGAGCGUUGUCCGGAUUUAUUGGGCGUAAAGCGAGCGCAGGUGGUUUAUUAAGUCUGGUGUAAAAGGCAGUGGCUCAACCAUUGUAUGCAUUGGAAACUGGUAGACUUGAGUGCAGGAGAGGAGAGUGGAAUUCCAUGUGUAGCGGUGAAAUGCGUAGAUAUAUGGAGGAACACCGGUGGCGAAAAGCGGCUCUCUGGCCUGUAACUGACACUGAGGCUCGAAAGCGUGGGGAGCAAACAGGAUUAGAUACCC
rnacentral:rRNA from 1 species